rnacentral:rRNA from 1 species
GAGCAGUAGCGGACGGGUGAGUAACACGUACGUAACCUGUCCGAAAGUGGGGAAUAACCCCGCGAAAGCGGGGCUAAUACCGCAUAUGGUCGCCGGUGAAAAACCGGUGGACAAAAGCCUUACGGCGCUUUCGGAGGGGCGUGCGGCCGAUUAGCUUGUUGGUGUGGUAAUGGCGCACCAAGGCGACAAUCGGUAGCUGGUCUGAGAGGACGGCCAGCCACACGGGGACUGAGACACGGCCCCGACUCCUACGGGAGGCAGCAGCAAGGAAUUUUGCGCAAUGGGCGAAAGCCUGACGCAGCAACGCCGCGUGGGGGAUGAAGGCCCUCGGGUCGUAAACCCCUUUUGUAAGGGAAGUAACUGACGGUACCUUACGAAUAAGCCACGGCUAACUACGUGCCAGCAGCCGCGGUAAUACGUAGGUGGCAAGCGUUGUCCGGAUUUACUGGGCGUAAAGGGCGCGCAGGUGGCUCAUCAAGUCUGGGGUGAAAUCUCCCGGCUCAACCGGGAGGGGUCUCUGGAUACUGAUGGGCUAGAGGGAAGCAGAGGAGAGCGGAAUUCCCGGUGUAGCGGUGAUAUGCGUAGAUAUCGGGAGGAACACCAGUGGC